rfam:Picea glauca, whole genome shotgun sequence.
CCUGAUGUACAUUCCUAUAGUGAUAAUGCACCAUAUCCCAUUAGGACUCCGUAGUUAAGAGCAGUUGGGCUAGAGUAGUAUUGGGAUGGGUGAACUCCUGAGAAGUCCUAGUGUCUUACAUGC